rnacentral:rRNA from 1 species
UACGAAGGGGGCUAGCGUUGCUCGGAAUCACUGGGCGUAAAGGGUGCGUAGGCGGGUCUUUAAGUCAGGGGGGAAAUCCUGGAGCUCAACUCCAGAACUGCCUUUGAUACUGAAGAUCUUGAGUUCGGGAGAGGUGAGUGGAACUGCGAGUGUAGAGGUGAAAUUCGUAGAUAUUCGCAAGAACACCAGUGGCGAAGGCGACUUCCUGGCCUGUUCUUGACGCUGAGGCGCGAAAGCUAGGGUAGCAAACGGG